UCCAGCAGACUUGAUUAAUAGAGCCUGCUCUGAUGUGCUGUAAUGACAGCAUGUUGGAGCAGCUUUGCAUGAUCCUUGGAGAUCAGUGCAUGCAGAAUGGCAGGGAGCUGCUGCUGCUUUAGCACUGUUUUAUGUUCCUGGUUGGACCGGUGCUUCUCCUUUCAUUCAUAGCACUUGUGUGGGGCUUUGCUGUUUUGUUGGGGUGGAGUGACAGAAGUCUUGCUCUGGUCCUGGAUUUCCAUGCGCAAAUAUGGUUAAGUGGUGAGUGGUGAGGUCUUCCAACCUUUGGAUUGAUCACCACUGCAGGCUGGAAGGAGGAAGCACAGCUUUUCCCAGAGAAGGGUGGCGAUCUUUCACAGCACAAUGGACAUUUCUUUUGUGUGCUAAACAUGAAUCCUUCUAGCUGACUGGGUGCAGCCUAGCUCCACCUGCUUUUGCAUUCACCUUCUCUUCGCUGGCCUCAGUAAUGCAGCAUCAUGGUCUGUCCCCAAAUAGCCUGAUUUCACAGGAAAAGGUACAUGGUAAAAAGUACUGCCUCUGUUUUUGUGUAAAGAAGAUGAUGCUAGCUGAUGAUCAAGUGGUCCUCCCCAUUCAGCAGGAGCUCAUCAGUUUCUGCUGCUCAUUCUUCAGCCAGAGUGAGUGAUGUCAAAAUCUGGAGAUGAAACUGACCAAAUCAAAUCCAAGGUGCUUCGGAACUGAGCAGCAUCAUUUGACUCCAUCUGGUCUCCAUU